AGAGUUCUACUGUGCCUGCCGUUCAUUUGGAUGUGUGCACGUAGUCUCUAUAAAUCCUUAUCAACACCUGUGCACCUUUAAAAAGGGGGAAACUGAUUAAGCUUUUUACGGGCUUAUGAGGAAUAACCUUUUUUCUUAUACAAACUCUUAAUGUCUAUUAGAAUGUUCUCUGGCCGCAAGGCUAUAAAAUAUAAACAACUUUUAACAACGGAUCUCUUGGCUCUCGCAUCGAUGAAGAACGCAGCGAAAUGCGAUAAGUAAUGUGAAUUGCAGAAUUCAGUGAAUCAUCGAAUCUUUGAACGCACCUUGCACUCCUUGGUAUUCCGAGGAGUACGCCUGUUCGAGUGUUAUGAAGCUCUCAAAACGCAAUUGGCUUAAAACCUGAUUGUUGUUUUGGAUUUGAACUUUGCCGUGUUAUAACGGCUGGUUUUAAAAGUAUUAGCUGGUACUAGAACGAAUUGGUUCUACUCAACGUGAUAAUUAUCUGAUCGUUGAGGACAUUCCUUUCACGAGGAAUGGCCAUAGUAAAUUCAAUGGACUGCUUCUAAUCUGGCUUUAAUUCUUUAUUGGAUUAACCACUUUUCAAAUCUGACCUCGAAUCAGGUGGGACUACCCGCUGAACUUAAGCAUAUCAAUAAGCCCGGAAG
rnacentral:rRNA from 1 species